UACACACCGCCCGUCACACCAUGGGAGUGGGUUGUACCAGAAGUAGGUAGUUUAACCCCGCACUUGUUGCGGGGGGGACGCUUACCACGGUAUGGUUCAUGACUGGGGUG
rnacentral:rRNA from 1 species